AUGAACGCUAGCGGGAGGCUUAACACAUGCAAGUCGAGGGGCAUCACGGGUAGCAAUACCUGGUGGCGACCGGCAGACGGGUGAGUAACGCGUAUGUAACCUACCCUGUACAGGGGGAUAACCCGGAGAAAUUCGGACUAAUAUCCCAUAAUGAUAUCUGGGGGCAUCUUCGGAUAUUUAAAGUUCCGGCGGUACAGGAUGGGCAUGCGUAACAUUAGCUAGUUGGUAAGGUAACGGCUUACCAAGGCUUUGAUGUUUAGGGGUCCUGAGAGGGUGGUCCCCCACACUGGUACUGAGACACGGACCAGACUCCUACGGGAGGCAGCAGUGAGGAAUAUUGGUCAAUGGGCGCAAGCCUGAACCAGCCAUCCCGCGUGCAGGAAGACGGCCCUAUGGGUUGUAAACUGCUUUUCCAGGGAGAGAAACUUGCGUACGCGUUGCGCAAUUGACGGUACCCUGGGAAUAAGCAUCGGCUAACUCCGUGCCAGCAGCCGCGGUAAUACGGAGGAUACGAGCGUUAUCCGGAUUCAUUGGGUUUAAAGGGUGCGUAGGCGGACUAUUAAGUCAGUGGUGAAAUCCUGCAGCUUAACUGCAGAACUGCCAUUGAUACUGAUAGCCUUGAGUUUGGUUAAGGUAGGCGGAAUGUGUAAUGUAGCGGUGAAAUGCUUAGAUAUUACACAGAACACCAAUUGCGUAGGCAGCUUACUGAGCCGACACUGACGCUGAGGCACGAAAGCGUGGGGAUCGAACAGGAUUAGAUACCCGGGUAGUCCACGCCGUAAACGAUGAUUACUCGCUGUUGGCGAUACACUGUCAGCGGCUAAGCAAAAGCAAUAAGUAAUCCACCUGGGGGAGUACGGCCGCAAGGUUG
rnacentral:rRNA from 1 species